AAUAAAAUUUUUAUAGUCCUACUUUCCGGGAUUUAAUGUCAAUAAACUUUACCCGGAUAUCUCACAAAAUACAAGUUGAACCCAGAUUUUAAAAACGUGUGUAGCUUUCCGUAAAGGAUUAAAUUUAUUUACCUUAUAUACAAAUACAAUGGACACAGAGUAUAAAUGUGUAUGAUAGUUGUCAUCAUUACUUUUCAAGUGAGAAUGAAGGAAGAAUGUCGUUUAUUAUACCGUUACUAGUUACCUUGUUCUGCUUGGUUAUUGUCGGCCUUUGUGUCAUAUAUAUCCGCUGCAAACAAAAGAUACUUCAACAAUCAAGAGCAUUUGAUGCACGUCAACAUAGAAAUACAAGACUAUGUCAAACGUCGCCUUCCAGACACACAAUUGUGACUACCGUCAGUUCUCAAGUUCAACCUGAAAUGCCUCCGCCUUACGAAAUUCUCCCGCCACCUUACUACACGAUAGAUGACGGAACCAGCGAGAAAAAAGGGAACAAGACUGCAUUUCCGGACGAGCCUCCACCAGCUUAUUCUCCUUAUGAUACCGGUGUUGUCUAAACUGAUUAGUUGCCACAAAUUAUGAAUCGUUACUUUAAUAUUUGAUUAAAACCAUAUGACAAACAUAGCACCAUAAACUGUCAAUUAUAAUGAAUGUAUUGCUGACAAAGACAAUAUGUAGAUUGAAAAAUAAAGGUUAAAACCUUGCUUCAAUAAUUUGGAUACGUAACCAGUAAAUUAUUAUCAUGUUUUACAUUUAUGUUGUUUGUUUAAAAUAUCAUUUUUACAAUAAUUUACUUUCAUACUGUUUGAUAAUAAACUAUUAAUAUGUAAAUUAUAACUUUCAUGUUAAAAAUUCCAUUUUCUAUAAUACCUGCGUGUUUGAAUUGAAUGUUCUCUGAGAAUUUCUAUACACAUAUAUACAUUCAUUUGCUGAAGGGUCUGUUAAUUCUAUGAUCGUUAAUGAUUCACACAAAUACGCUUAUGAUAGUUUAAAUGAAUUCUAAAUACAACAACAGAUCAUGAAUUUAUUUACCAUACAAGCAGCAUUUCUUGAAUCUAACUAGUGUUGUCAAUUAAGCAUUAUGGGUAUUAUUAUUAUUAUUAUAAUGGGUAAUUAUUAUCACGUUUAACAGAGCGCUGUCAGCCAAAAAUCACCAUUCCAAAAAUUGGCACUAGACAGACUAUACCCCACUCAUGAUUAGUGUAAGCAUACAUGUGUAUGUAUCGUUAAAUUAUUGUUUAGUUUCACUUUGAUAAUAAAAAAUUGCUGUAUUUUAUAUAAAUAAUUACGGAAACAUGAAGCAC